UACGUAGGGGGCAAGCGUUGUCCGGAUUUACUGGGCGUAAAGGGCGUGCAGGCGGUUUGUUAAGUGCAGGGUGAAAGCUCCCGGCUCAACUGGGAGAGGUCCUUGCAUACUGGCGAACUCGAGGGAGGCAGAGGAAAGUGGAAUUCCCGGUGUAGUGGUGAUAUGCGUAGAUAUCGGGAGGAACACCUGUGGCGAAGGCGGCUUUCUGGGCCUUACCUGACGCUGAGACGCGAAAGCGUGGGGAGCAAACAGG
rnacentral:rRNA from 1 species